GACGGGGGGGGCAAGUGUUCUUCGGAAUGACUGGGCGUAAAGGGCACGUAGGCGGUGAAUCGGGUUGAAAGUGAAAGUCGCCAAAAAGUGGCGGAAUGCUCUCGAAACCAAUUCACUUGAGUGAGACAGAGGAGAGUGGAAUUUCGUGUGUAGGGGUGAAAUCCGUAAAUAUACGAAGGAACGCCAAAAGCGAAGGCAGCUCUCUGGGUCCCUACUGACGCUGAGGUGCGAAAGCGUGGGGAGCAAACAGG
rnacentral:rRNA from 1 species